UCACAACUUUAUAAACUAUAACUAUAAUCACAUGGUUCAAAACUUUAAUAUUUUUUUUAUUUCUUAUCAAACCUGAAAGCCUUUUUCAAACUACCUUGAUGAUGACAAGUGUACAAAUUAAGACUCUUAUUUUGAAAACUGUCUCGAGUAAAGUAACCAAAUACAAACAUCAACCCAACCAAUAAAAAGAAGGGAAACACAGACACCAAGGGCCUUUUUACUUGUGAAAAUCAGUUACUAUUUUCCAUUAAUCAUUUUAUUAAAAACUUUUUCCCAUUUUCUAGGAAACCUGUAAAGCAUGUUCAUUUUGCUAAAAAUAGAAAAUCAUUUCCCAACUUUGAAAAUCAGAAAUCAUGUAGAUGUUCACAUCAUAAUUGUUUUUCUAUAACUAAAGACUAGAGAGUUCAAAACUCGUAAAACAUGUUCAAAAAGUUCUUUUUUGUACUUUUUCUAAUG
rnacentral:misc_RNA from 1 species